UACGGAGGGUGCAAGCGUUAUCCGGAAUCACUGGGUUUAAAGGGUGCGUAGGCGGCGCUAUAAGUCAGAGGUGAAAGGCCACCGCUUAACGGUGGGACUGCCUUUGAUACUGUAGUGCUUGAAUCAGGCUGAGGUCGGCGGAAUGUGACAUGUAGCGGUGAAAUGCAUAGAUAUGACUUAGAACACCAAUUGCGAAGGCAGCUAACUGGGCCUUGAUUGACGCUGAGGCACGAAAGCGUGGGGAGCGAACAGGAUAGAUACCGUGUAGCAC
rnacentral:rRNA from 1 species